AUUGAACGCUGGCGGCAUGCCUUACACAUGCAAGUCGAACGGCAGCACGGGAGCAAUCCUGGUGGCGAGUGGCGAACGGGUGAGUAAAGUAUCGGAACGUGCCCAGUCGUGGGGGAUAACGUAGCGAAAGUUACGCUAAUACCGCAUACGAUCUAAGGAUGAAAGCGGGGGAUCGCAAGACCUCGCGCGAAUGGAGCGGCCGAUGGCAGAUUAGGUAGUUGGUAGGGUAAAGGCCUACCAAGCCGACGAUCUGUAGCUGGUCUGAGAGGAUGAUCAGCCACACUGGGACUGAGACACGGCCCAGACUCCUACGGGAGGCAGCAGUGGGGAAUUUUGGACAAUGGACGCAAGUCUGAUCCAGCCAUUCCGCGUGCAGGAUGAAGGCCCUCGGGUUGUAAACUGCUUUUGUACAGAACGAAAAGGCUCUGGUUAAUACCUGGGGCACAUGACGGUACUGUAAGAAUAAGCACCGGCUAACUACGUGCCAGCCGCCGCCGUAA
rnacentral:rRNA from 1 species